AAUUUUGGACAAUGGGGGAAACCCUGAUCCAGCCAUCCCGCGUGUAUGAUGAAGGCCUUCGGGUUGUAAAGUACUUUUGGCAGAGAAGAAAAGGUAUCUCUUAAUACGAGAUACUGCUGACGGUAUCUGCAGAAUAAGCACCGGCUAACUCCGUUCCAGCAGCCGCGGUAAUACGUAGGGUGCAAGCGUUAAUCGGAAUUAAGGGGCGUAACGCGUGGGUAGGCGGGUCGGAAAGAAAGGUGUGAAAUCCCAGGGCUCAACCUUGGAACUGCAUUUUUAACUGACGAGCUAGAGUAUGUCAGAGGGGGGUAGAAUUCCACGUGUAGGAGUGAAAUGCAUAGAUAUGUGGAGGAAUAGCGAUGGCGAAGGGAGCGCCCUGGGAUAAUACUGACGCUCAGACACGAAAGCGUGGGGAGCAAACA
rnacentral:rRNA from 1 species